GGUGGGGUGGCCGAGCGGCUGAAGGCGCCGGUCUUGAAAACCGGUAACGGGUUAUCCCGUUCGCGGGUUCGAAUCCCGCCCCCACCG
rnacentral:tRNA from 1 species